AUUGAACGCUGGCGGCAGGCCUAACACAUGCAAGUCGAAUGGUAACAGGAAACAGCUUGCUGUUUCGCUGACGAGUGGCGGACGGGUGAGUAAUGUCUGGGAAACUGCCUGAUGGAGGGGGAUAACUACUGGAAACGGUAGCUAAUACCGCAUAACGUCGCAAGACCAAAGAGGGGGACCUUCGGGCCUCUUGCCAUCAGAUGUGCGCAGAUGGGAUUAGCUAGUAGGUGGGGUAACGGCUCACCUAGGCGACGAUCCCUAGCUGGUCUGAGAGGAUGACCAGCCACACUGGAACUGAGACACGGUCCAGACUCCUACGGGAGGCAGCAGUGGGGAAUAUUGCACAAUGGGCGAAAGCCUGAUGCAGCCAUGCCGCGUGUAUGAAGAAGGCCUUCGGGUUGUAAAGUACUUUCAGCGGGGAGGAAGGGAGUAAAGUUAAUACCUUUGCUCAUUGACGUUACCCGCAGAAGAAGCACCGGCUAACUCCGUG
rnacentral:rRNA from 1 species